ensembl:snRNA U6 U6 spliceosomal RNA
GUACUCAUUUCAGCAGCACAUAUACUGAAACCUGGAAUGAUAUAGAGAAGAAUAGCAUGUUCUCUGUGCAAGGAUGACACAGAAAUUCUGAAGUGUUCCAUAUAUUU